GGGACUGUACACGUGUAAUAUGGCUUCAUGAGCUUCAUGUGCAAUUUUGCAAUUUGUCUUAUAUCUCAUUAAUCAAAAUUAGCCAAUGGAAAUUGUGAUUAGCAUUGUGGUUAGCAUGGCAUAUAAAAGCUCAAACCCUAUAUAACAACCAUAACUAACUUUUGAGAUCAAAAUUCAAGAAACUCUCCAAACUUUCUCUCUC
rnacentral:lncRNA from 1 species